UGAGGGCACUCCUGCAGCGGCACAGGCUCCAUCCUGGGAGGUGUGCAGCCCACUCCAAACUGCAUUGGUGACCUUGCUUUGGGCAAGAACUGGAAUUAAGCACCUCCUGAGUCUCAAAGGACCUCAUCACCCCAUCAUCCCAUAAUCCUGAGGCCCUGAGGCCCCCUGAGUGCCACUGAAGUCUGGCACCUGCCCUGGAGGCCCAGCAGCUGUCGAAGACCGUGCUGGUCUGUGGUCAGUUUGACAGCGGGAGAAGCCGGUGGUGACAACACUGCCCCUGGCAGCUACUCAGCCCCUUGUCCAGCAUUUCUGGGGACAGAUGUGCCCAAGGAAGAGGGAGAUGUUGGCAGACCCAGCACCAGCUGCAUCCUGGGAAGCCCACAGUGUAUCCAGCAAAUGCCAAGCCCAGUGGGUGCAAGGCACUGCAGCCCCUGCUGCCCCCACCACAGCUCCAGCCUCUGUUCUCACCCACCACUACCUUUGUUUCCAUGCACAGCCUGAAAACUGUCCUGUUGGAACCUUCUAUGGGCUUUGGGAACCUCUUUCCGGGCAGGGCUCCCACGAGUUCCACCCUCUGCCUCCUGCAGCUGGCAGAGACCUGUGCUGGCUGUCUCUGUCCUGUGGCACUGCCUGGGACAGCCAAAAUAGUAUCUCUAAGCCCUGUUCAACAUGGACAUGUUUAAGAACCCACUGACAACUCCAUACCAAGGAAAGCUCCUCAUUUUUUGGUGGCAGCAGCUGGGAAGAGAGUGGGAUGGUGGGUGGGAUGAGCACUGGGCACUUCACCAGCUCUGCAGAAGCCUGGACACUGGAGUUCAUGCAUUGUUAUGCCUCAAACACUGACGACUGGCAAGUUGGAACAGGACAUGCCUGGAAAGGGGGCCCUACAGAGGUAGGGAAGAGGCUUUCUGGAGCCAGUUUUCCUGUUCAGGUCCAUGGUGACCACACAACACAGCACAAGUGCAGAAGAGCAGUCAAGGAGUGGCUGAGAUGAACAGAGGGGGAGCGAUACCACCAAGGACCCCCAGGUAGCCCCGCACUCUUUUCAGGAACUCUCCAGCAGAAGGUUGCCCCAUACUGUUACCUCAGACGUAAAGAAUCCCCUCCCUGGAGAAGGAUAUAGGCAUUCUACGGAAGUAUAUAACCUGACUUUUUGUUUCACAGCCCCACUCCCAAUGGAGCUGUGACCAUUACUCUGACCACAGACAUCGGAAUUGCAGUGAUCAAGUCUUCUCACUGGAUCCACAGGAAAACCAAACCCAGCCAUCUACUGCCUUUCUGCUACAAUUAAGUUUUUAAAAAACAAAUCUGCCUCUUAUAUACACUGGUCAUCAGUGUUAUUUCAUUCCAAGGGAUUUUUUAAACAAGAAUUUACCCUGCCUUAGAGAUGGGUCAUAACAAGCUCCUGGUCUGUCCUAGACCCAGAGUUUCCUCACUGGGGCUGAGUGUGUCCAAACAGGAUCAGCCUAGUCCUACAGCCCCUCACACACCCCUCCAGCUCAAGCAGGACCCCCUGAUGACUGCGUUGCCCUUAUGGAAAUGGACCCUGCCUGGUCCCCUGCAAAGGGAACCUUCCUGGGUCAAGGAGAAAAAGGAAUAAGCUGGAAUAAUGACAAGGGAGGUAAAAAACCAAAAAAAUAAAAAAAAAACAAAAAAAACCCUCAAGCCAAAACAAACCAAAACAAACAAACAAAAAAAACCCCCAAAAACCAAAAAACAAACAAACAAACAAAAAACCCAAAAAAAACCCCACAAAAAACCAAACCAAACCAAACCAAAAAAAAAAAAAAAAAACCACAAAAACCACAGGAGAAAGCUAAGUGUCAUGCUGGAAGGGGGAAAUCAAGGAUGUGGAGCAGUUUUCUUUUCAAAUCACAGUUUGAAAGUGGCUGUCAGGAACACAGGGCUGCAGGUCCCAGUGGACAGGAUGGGUUUCAGCCUUUGGCUUUAUGCUUCAAAAGGGACAGGGAGGACACAGGCCAGCCCUGCACAGCCCUGUUCAGCCCUACCCAGGGCAGUGUUUAUGGAAACACAGAAUCACAGACUGGUUUUGGUAGAAAGGGACAUUUGGGUUUGGAGCCCCAGGUUUUUCCCCUGAGGCACCCCAGUAGAUGGUGAGGGUCUUUUCCAGUCAGAUUGGGAUUUAAUGAGGCCCCAGUUCACUGGCUGCUCUUUUGAGCUGAGGUUCACCCACGUAAGGAAGAGGCAGCGCCGGGCUGGACUCUGCAGUGACAGCAAAUUCUCUCGUGGUAGCAGCAAUUCAACCAUUCCCUUCCAAUCCCAAGAGUGAGAGAGAGUGAGUGAGAAGCUGAGCCCAGCCCCUCACCCCCCAGCCAAAAAUGUCAUGGUAUCUCUGCCCUUCCCAAGAGAAAAGCCCCCGGCUAAGUGGCCGCAGCCAGCUGCACUCCUUCCCCCAUCUUGGCCACUUCUUUAGUCUCUCUUUAGUACUGGUUAUUAUCAUCUCUGAGGCAACAUAUGGGAGAAAAUUCCCUGACAGAAAGGAAAAAUUCUAGCUUCCAACAGGACUCACUCCAGCAGCUCCAUGUGCUCACUGUGUUGGGGACUCCAAAUCUGGAGGCAGCUCUGCAGGUGGGGUCUCACCUGAGUAGGGCUGAGAGGGAGAAUCCCCCCUGACCUGAUGCUUAUGCUGCUGAGAAAGAAGUCCAGAACACGGUUGGUUUUCUGGGAGGUCAGCAUAUUCUGCCAGGAGCUGUUUUCCCUUAAAAAUACCAGAGUUCUUCUGUCUUAAAUCUCGCAUCCACCACAAGUGUGGCUGGUGCUGCUGUUCCUGUUCAUUCCAGAAUAAUUCCAGGCUGGGUUACCCUGGGGAUGAGAUUAGUUAUUUGGUCCAGAGCCAUCAUGCACAUCCAUCUUAUGCAGGUUUCUUGCAAGGCUGGGGACACUGGGGACAUGGGGACCACCCAGAGCAGCUGUUUACAACCCACAGACCUGUCCUCAUUCUGCAGAAACUUGUUGCAGCAAAACUCUGCUGAGAUGUGUCCUGGUGCCAGCAUAAACCCAGCACCGAAGCAGCUCCCUUUUCCAGGGAGAAUAAUACCCCAGUGAGGAGGAAUUCACAUCAGACCAGACCUGCUAUCACUCUAAAAAUAAAUUGUUGUAUUGCACUAAA